GUGGGGAAUUUUGGACAAUGGGCGCAAGCCUGAUCCAGCAAUGCCGCGUGCAGGAAGAAGGCCUUCGGGUUGUAAACUGCUUUUGUACGGAACGAAACGGUCCGGGUUAAUACCCUGGGCUAAUGACGGUACCGUAAGAAUAAGCACCGGCUAACUACGUGCCAGCAGCCGCGGUAAUACGUAGGGUGCAAGCGUUAAUCGGAAUUACUGAGCGUAAAGCGUGCGCAGGCGGUUUUGUAAGACAGGCGUGAAAUCCCCGGGCUCAACCUGGGAAUUGCGCUUGUGACUGCAAGGCUGGAGUGCGGCAGAGGGGGAUGGAAUUCCGCGUGUAGCAGUGAAAUGCGUAGAUAUGCGGAGGAACACCGAUGGCGAAGGCAAUCCCCUGGGCCUGCACUGACGCUCAUGCACGAAAGCGUGGGGAGCAAACAGGAUUAGAUACCCUGGUAGUCC
rnacentral:rRNA from 1 species